CCUACGGGAGGCAGCAGUGAGGAAUAUUGGACAAUGGGCGCAAGCCUGAUCCAGCCAUGCCGCGUGCAGGAUGAAGCAUCUAUGGUGUGUAAACUGCUUUUGUACGAGAAGAAACACUCCGACGUGUCGGAGCUUGACGGUAUCGUAAGAAUAAGGAUCGGCUAACUCCGUGCCAGCAGCCGCGGUAAUACGGAGGAUCCAAGCGUUAUCCGGAAUCAUUGGGUUUAAAGGGUCCGUAGGCGGGCUUAUAAGUCAGUGGUGAAAUCUCCCGGCUCAACCGGGAAAUGGCCAUUGAUACUGUAGGUCUUGAAUUAUUAGGAAGUAACUAGAAUAUGUAGUGUAGCGGUGAAAUGCUUAGAGAUUACAUGGAAUACCAAUUGCGAAGGCAGGUUACUACUAAUUGAUUGACGCUGAUGGACGAAAGCGUGGGUAGCGAACAGGAUUAGAUACCCUGGUAGUCCACGCCGUAAACGAUGGAUACUAGCUGUUGGGGGCAACUUCAGUGGCUAAGCGAAAGUGAUAAGUAUCCCACCUGGGGAGUACGUUCGCAAGAAUGAAACUCAAAGGAAUUGACGG
rnacentral:rRNA from 1 species